rnacentral:rRNA from 1 species
AUUGAUUUUAUUAAUAUAAUUUUAUUUAAAUAGAAAUUUUAUAAAAAUAAUUUAAUUAUUAUUUGUUUUAGUAUUAAGUAAAAAUGAAUUUAUAGUUUUAUAGUUUAAUAGUAUUGUGAAAGAAAUUUUUAAAUUUUGAUAAGAAUUUUUAAAUGAGUACCUUUUGUAUCAGGGUUAAUUAAAAUUUUUAAUAUAAAUUUAAAUUCUCAAAAUUUAUAGAGUUAAUUUUAUUAUUAAUUUAUUGUUUUAUAAAUAUUUAGAAAAUAAUAUUGGUUUUGAAAUUUAAUUCGUUAUAUUAUAUUUAGUUAUUUAAGAGUUUAAUUUAAUUUAGAAUUUUAAAAGUUAUUUGUUAAUUUAUUAAUGAUAUAUUUUAAUUUUUAAUUAUUUUAGGGAUAAGCUUGAAAUUUUUAUAUAAUAAUUUUUAAUGAAAAUAAUAUUUAGGAAUAGAAAUUUUUAUAAUUAAGUUUGUAAAAAUUUAUUAUUUAAUUUAAUUUAAUUUAUUAUAAAAUUAUUUAUUUAUUUAUAUUAAAUUAUAUAAAUUAAUAAUUUAUUUAUAGAAAUAAUGAUUAAAUUAGUAUAAUUAAUUAUUUAUAAAUUAUGAAUUUGGCAAUUUUUAUUUUCAUCUGUUUAACAAAAACAUAGUAUUAAGAUUUAUUUAAUAUAAAAUCUGCUCAAUGAUUUAUUUAAAUAGCUGCAGUAUUUUGACUGUGCAAAGGUAGCAUAAUAAUUAGUCUUUUAAUUGAGGACUUGAAUGAAAGAUUUGAUGAAAAAUAAACUUUAUUAUUUAUAAAAUUAAAAUUUUAUUUUUAAGUAAAAAAGCUUAAAUAUUUUAAAGGGACGAUAAGACCCUAUAAAACUUUAUAAUUAAAAUUAUUAGAAUUUUUGGGGUAUUAAAAUUUUAAUAUUUAUUAAUUAUUUUAUUGGGGUGAUAAAAAAAAUUAUUUAACUUUUUUUAAAUUUUAACAUUAAUUAAUGAUUAAUUGAAUUAAAAAUUUUAAUUAUAGGAAAAAGUUACUUUAGGGAUAACAGCGUAAUUAUUUUUUUAAGUUCAAAUUUAAAAAUUAGUUUGCGACCUCGAUGUUGAAUUAAGAUUAUUCUUAGGUGCAAAAUUUUAAGUUAUAGGUCUGUUCGACCUUUAAAUUCUUACAUGAUUUGAGUUCAGACCGGUGUAAGCCAGGUUGGUUUCUAUCUUUUAAAUAUUAAAUUAUUUUAGUACGAAAGGAUUAAAUAAUUAAAUUAUAUUUUUAUAAAUGAAUUAAAAUAAAUUA